rnacentral:rRNA from 1 species
AUUGAACGCUGGCGGCAUGCUUUACACAUGCAAGUCGGACGGCAGCACAGAGAAGCUUGCUUCUUGGGUGGCGAGUGGCGAACGGGUGAGUAAUAUAUCGGAACGUACCGAGUAAUGGGGGAUAACUAAUCGAAAGAUUAGCUAAUACCGCAUAUUCUCUGAGGAGGAAAGCAGGGGACCUUCGGGCCUUGCGUUAUUCGAGCGGCCGAUAUCUGAUUAGCUAGUUGGUGGGGUAAAGGCCUACCAAGGCGACGAUCAGUAGCGGGUCUGAGAGGAUGAUCCGCCACACUGGGACUGAGACACGGCCCAGACUCCUACGGGAGGCAGCAGUGGGGAAUUUUGGACAAUGGGCGCAAGCCUGAUCCAGCCAUGCCGCGUGUCUGAAGAAGGCCUUCGGGUUGUAAAGGACUUUUGUCAGGGAAGAAAAGGCUGUUGCUAAUAUCGACAGCUGAUGACGGUACCUGAAGAAUAAGCACCGGCUAACUACGUGCCAGCAGCCGCGGUAAUACGUAGGGUGCGAGCGUUAAUCGGAAUUACUGGGCGUAAAGCGAGCGCAGACGGUUACUUAAGCAGGAUGUGAAAUCCCCGGGCUUAACCUGGGAACUGCGUUCUGAACUGGGUGACUAGAGUGUGUCAGAGGGAGGUAGAAUUCCACGUGUAGCAGUGAAAUGCGUAGAGAUGUGGAGGAAUACCGAUGGCGAAGGCAGCCUCCUGGGAUAACACUGACGUCCAUGCUCGAAAGCGUGGGUAGCAAACAGG